rnacentral:snRNA from 1 species
AUUGCUUCUCGGCCUUUUGGCUAAGAUCAAGUGUAGUAUCUGUUCUUAUCAGUACAGUGUUUUUAAAAAGAAAAAGCCUUGACUCUAC